GAUGAACGCUGGCGGCGUGCCUAAUACAUGCAAGUCGAGCGAACGGACGAGAAGCUUGCUUCUCUGAUGUUGGCGGCGGACGGGUGAGUAACACGUGGAUAACCUACCUAUAAGACUGGGAUAACUUCGGGAAACCGGAGCCAAUACCGGAUAAUAUUUUGAACCGCAUGGUUCAAAAGUGAAAGACGGUCUUGCUGUCACUUAUAGAUGGAUCCGCGCUGCAUUAGCUAGUUGGUAAGGUAACGGCUUACCAAGGCAACGAUGCAUAGCCGACCUGAGAGGGUGAUCGGCCACACUGGAACUGAGACACGGUCCAGACUCCUACGGGAGGCAGCAGUAGGGAAUCUUCCGCAAUGGGCGAAAGCCUGACGGAGCAACGCCGCGUGAGUGAUGAAGGUCUUCGGAUCGUAAAACUCUGUUAUUAGGGAAGAACAUAUGUGUAAGUAACUGUGCACAUCUUGACGGUACCUAAUCAGAAAGCCACGGCUAACUACGUG
rnacentral:rRNA from 1 species